UCCGGGUCUGUGGUUGAAAGUCGAUGCCAGUUGCAGGCGAAACGAUCCACGUAAGCAGUAAAAUUACUGUGAGCACGGUGCAGCUUAGAGGUAAGUCCUGCCGUAAGAAUGAGAGCAGUUUUGCCUGUGCGUUCUGCACAGGUUAAAACGGUAACUCCCGAUAUACGAGAGAGGCAGUAGUGGGGAGCAAAAGCUUAGGAGCGAACCUUCCAGCAGGCGGGUGUGGGGGCGAAAACCAGGUCAGCCGGAG
rnacentral:ncRNA from 1 species